GCCAUGCAUGUCUAAGUAUAAGUGUUAUACAGUGAAACUGCGAAUGGCUCAUUAAAACAGUUAUAGUUUAUUUGAUAAUCGAAUUUACAUGGAUAACCGUGGUAAUUCUAGAGCUAAUACAUGCUGGUUAGCCUGACUUUUAGGAAGGGCUGUAUUUAUUAGAUAACAAACCAAUAUUCUUCGUGUCUAUUGUGACGACUCAUAAUAACUGAUCGGAUCGCAUGGGCUUUGCCCGCGACAAAUCAUUCAAGUUUCUGCCCCAUCAGCUUUCGAUGGUAGUGUAUUGGACUACCAUGGCUUUAACGGGUUACGGAGGAUUAGGGUUCGAUUCCGGAGAGGGAGCCUGAGAAACGGCUACCACAUCUAAGGAAGGCAGCAGGCGCGUAAAUUACCCAAUCGCGACUCGCGGAGGUAGUGACAAGAAAUAACAGACCGAAGCUAACGUUUCGGGAUUGCAAUGAGUAGAAUUUAAACCCCUUUACGAGGAUCAAUUGGAGGGCAAGUCUGGUGCCAGCAGCCGCGGUAAUUCCAGCUCCAAUAGCGUAUAUUAAAGUUGUUGCAGUUAAAAAGCUCGUAGUCGAAUUUCGGACAAGGCAUUUUUGCCAACCUUUUGAGUUUGGCUUUAAUGGCAAGUCUUUUUUUCUAGAUUUCCUGUUAGCCUUCGCGGGUGUGCAGGAGUACCUAGGACUAUUACUUUGAAGAAAUUAGAGUGUUUAAGGCAGGCUUGUGCUUGAAUACAUUAGCAUGGAAUAAUAAAAUAGGACUUUGGUUUUAUUUUGUUGGUUUUAAAAACUAGAGUAAUGAUUAAUAGGGAUAGUCGGGGGCGUUAGUAUUUAGUAGUCAGAGGUGAAAUUCUUGGAUUUACUAAAGACUAACUAGUGCGAAAGCAUUCGCCAAGGAUGUUUUCAUUGAUCAAGAACGAAAGUUAGGGGAUCGAAGACGAUCAGAUACCGUCGUAGUCUUAACCAUAAACUAUGCUGACUAGGGAUCGGUGGAUGUCUUAAUGACGCAUCGGCACCUUAUGAGAAAUCAAAGUUUUUAGGUUCUGGGGGGAGUAUGGUCGCAAGGCUGAAACUUAAAGGAAUUGACGGAAGGGCACCACCAGGAGUGGAGCCUGCGGCUUAAUUUGACUCAACACGGGAAAACUCACCAGGUCCGGACAUAGUAAGGAUUGACAGAUUGAGAGCUCUUUCUUGAUUCUGUGGGUGGUGGUGCAUGGCCGUUCUUAGUUGGUGGAGUGAUUUGUCUGGUUAAUUCCGAUAACGAACGAGACCUUAGCCUACUAACUAGUCGACUCAAUCUCGAUUGAUUCCGACUUCUUAGAGGGACUUUGUGGUUUAAACACAAGGAAGUUUGAGGCAAUAACAGGUCUGUGAUGCCCUUAGAUGUCCUGGGCCGCACGCGUGCUACACUGACGCAUACAGCGAGUACUUCCCAGCUCCGAGAGGCAGCUGGUAAUCAGCAAUAUGCGUCGUGAUUGGGAUAGGGGAUUGUAAUUAUUCCCCUUGAACGAGGAAUUCCCAGUAAGCGCGAGUCAUAAGCUCGCGUUGAUUACGUCCCUGCCCUUUGUACACACCGCCCGUCGCUACUACCGAUUGAAUGUUUUAGUGAGGUCUUCAGACUGGCCGGCGCAGCUGCUCUCGUAGUGGCAGCGCUGUGUUUGGGAAGAUGCCCAAACUUGAACAU
rnacentral:rRNA from 1 species